rnacentral:rRNA from 1 species
UACGAAGGGGGCGAGCGUUGUUCGGAUUUACUGGGCGUAAAGGGCGCGCAGGCGGCUUAUUUUGUCAGGCGUGAAAGCCCCGGGCUUAACCUAGGAACUGCGUUUGAUACGGAUGGGCUAGAGUUCGGGAGAGGAGAGUGGAAUUCCCAGUGUAGAGGUGAAAUUCGUAGAUAUUAGGAAGAACACCAGUGGCGAAGGCGGCUCACUGGCCCGGUACUGACGCUGAGGCGCGAAAGCGUGGGGAGCAAACAGG